GAUGAACGCUGGCGGCGUGCUUAACACAUGCAAGUCGAACGAUGAAGCCCAGCUUGCUGGGUGGAUUAGUGGCGAACGGGUGAGUAACACGUGAGUAACCUGCCCUUGACUCUGUGAUAAGCCUGGGAAACUGGGUCUAAUACUGGAUAUGACUUCUCAUCGCAUGGUGGGGGGUGGAAAGAUUUAUUGGUCUUGGAUGGACUCGCGGCCUAUCAGCUUGUUGGUGAGGUAAUGGCUCACCAAGGCGACGACGGGUAGCCGGCCUGAGAGGGUGACCGGCCACACUGGGACUGAGACACGGCCCAGACUCCUACGGGAGGCAGCAGUGGGGAAUAUUGCACAAUGGGCGCAAGCCUGAUGCAGCGACGCCGCGUGAGGGAUGACGGCCUUCGGGUUGUAAACCUCUUUCAGUAGGGAAGAAGCGAGAGUGACGGUACCUGCAGAAGAAGCGCCGGCUAACUACGUG
rnacentral:rRNA from 1 species